rnacentral:rRNA from 1 species
AGAGUUUGAUCCUGGCUCAGGAUGAACGCUAGCUACAGGCUUAACACAUGCAAGUCGAGGGGCAGCGGUAUCGAAAGCUUGCUUUCGGUAGCCGGCGACCGGCGCACGGGUGAGUAACGCGUAUCGAACCUGCCUCAUACUCGGGAAUAGCCUUGCGAAAGUAAGAUUAAUGCCCGGUGUUUUCAGAGUCCCGCAUGAGGCUUUGAACAAAGAUUUAUCGGUAUGAGAUGGCGAUGCGUCCCAUUAGCUUGUUGGCGGGGUAACGGCCCACCAAGGCAUCGAUGGGUAGGGGUUCUGAGAGGAAGGUCCCCCACAUUGGAACUGAGACACGGUCCAAACUCCUACGGGAGGCAGCAGUGAGGAAUAUUGGUCAAUGGGCGGAAGCCUGAACCAGCCAAGUAGCGUGCAGGAAGACGGCCCUCCGGGUUGUAAACUGCUUUUAGUUGGGAAUAAAACGGGGCUCGUGAGCCCCCUUGCAUGUACCAUCAGAAAAAGGACCGGCUAAUUCCGUGCCAGCAGCCGCGGUAAUACGGAAGGUCCGGGCGUUAUCCGGAUUUAUUGGGUUUAAAGGGAGCGCAGGCGGACCUUUAAGUCAGCUGUGAAAUACGGCGGCUCAACCGUCGAACUGCAGUUGAUACUGGAGGUCUUGAGUGCACACAGGGAUGCUGGAAUUCAUGGUGUAGCGGUGAAAUGCUCAGAUAUCAUGAAGAACUCCGAUCGCGAAGGCAGGCAUCCGGGGUGCAACUGACGCUGAGGCUCGAAAGUGCGGGUAUCAAACAGGAUUAGAUACCCUGGUAGUCCGCACAGUAAACGAUGAAUACUCGCGGUUUGCGAUACAAUGUAAGCCGCCAAGCGAAAGCGUUAAGUAUUCCACCUGGGGAGUACGCCGGCAACGGUGAAACUCAAAGGAAUUGACGGGGGCCCGCACAAGCGGAGGAACAUGU